rnacentral:lncRNA from 1 species
UAAAAAAUUAAAAAUAAUUUUUGAAAUUACUUGUUUUUACUUAUAAGCAUAUGUAAAUAUAAGCAAAAGAAACAUUUUUAAAUGUAGCCUUAUGACUAUGAGGGCAACCUGGCUGUGACAUCUGUCACUCCAUUAAUCUCCAGGGUUAAUUCAGCUGGCUAAUUUAGCCGAGUAAACUGGUUGGCUAGGCAGUUGUUCCCUUCUUCCCUCACUGCCCCAUGUGUGUCCCUCCCAAAGCUGCAUGCUUGGUGGAAGAGAACAACAUUCCCUGAUACAGUAGAACUUUUUUUGGUCAAGAGUAUAUUUGUAGCUAUAGUCCCCAGCUAGAACAUCCUCUAAGCAAGCUCUUAAGGUCCAUUUGUAGGAGAACAUAGGGUACUCAAACCCAUGACUCCAGAGACAUCCAAGAGAAGUGGAUGUGGACAGUCUGCACUAAAAAAAGGAAAAAGAAAAGAAAGAGAAAAAAAUAUAUAGCCUUACAUAUUGGGUUGAUUAGUUGGUGAUUUUUUAUCAUUAUUACUUUCCUUUAAAUCUUACUGUAUUUAAAAUAAUUACAAUUUUGAAAUAAAGAAAAACUUAUCUGCAGACAUUCAAUUAUAAUUAAAUACAUCAUGUAAAAUUAACAAAGGCAUUAUUUGCAAACUUUACAAUGCAGGUCCAUCUUCUGAUUGACUUCAUUUGAUAGUAUUUUGUCAGUUAUGCAUUUCCAAAGGCCUUUAUGCCUUUGGAAACCUUUGUCCUUUGGCAGAUGCUCUGCUAAAUUCAGGCCAGUUAACUUGCUAAACAGGAGGCAGUGUGCCAUGUUCAAAAUGAAUUGAGCCUCUGAAGAAAUUCCACUAAAAACCUCAUUCUUUUUCUGAACCUAACCAAAAAAUUAGAGUAACAAAAAUACUGCCAGGCACUAGGCUGCUUCCACAGAGGAAAUUUUGAAUAAACAUGUCAUGCAAUUAAUUUAACAGUUUUUCAUGCUCAAAUCAGUUGACAGAGACUUUCUGGAGAGAUUCUUGUUUCUCUAUUCCUAUUUCUGUAAUCUUAUUAGCAUAUUGUGACAGUAAAAGCCAUCACUAAUAAUAAAUUAGGUCUUAAUUGUAAAUGAUAUUCCAGCAAAAUUUAGGAAAAAAAGUGUUUCUGGUCUCAACAUUUUGGCAUGCCUGUCAGCAGUCAUACAGGCAAAAAUAAAUAUUAAGUUGUAACUCAGCAAUAGGCUUGAAAAUCAUCUAUACCAUUAUCAUUAUUAUUUUGUUGUCUCUCAUGGGGACAUCAGACAUCUGGUUUCAAAGAUAAUGGCAGUAACAAUUAUUUGCAUCAUAGCCCUAGCUAACUAGAUAGCUAAAAACAUCUGUUAUGAUCUUCGGUUUCUUUAACCUGUCCCCGGAGAGACUUUGAUCGCUGAAAUAUUCUUUUUUCAAAUUUCUCUCUGCAAUAAUCAUUUUUGCAAAAUACAGAUUACUUGAUACUUAAGGAAAUUGACUAUAAUGCUGCUUUUCUUUUUUUGAAUUUAAAACUGGAGAAGGGGUCAUUUAAAAAGACUUUAUAAGAAAAUUAUUUUACCAGAGCUGAAAUUUUACCAUCAUAGCUAUAUCGAAUUGCCCUUUUAAACUAGGGUCAUUGUUUUUCUGUGAUAUAUUAAACAUAAAAAAUAAGGGCACAAAUAUUUGAACAAACACAUCAGGUAUUUACUAGACCAGUAUUAUCCAUUGCAAGCAAAACUUGCAGGUAAUACUAUUUCCAAAAUAAUUCUUUGGUUCUGUAAUUAAAAAAUUAAUUAGGAAGCAUAUGUGGCCCUACCAUGUGUUAGCAGUAUACUAGGCUCUGGGCUCUUUUAUGCAUAUAAAAAAUGUAAGCCGGCCGGGCGCGGUGGCACAUGCCUCUAAUCCCAGCAUUUUGGGAGGCCGAGGUGGGCGGACCACGAGGUCUAGAGAUCGAGGCCAUCCUGGCCAACAUGGUGAAACCUUGUCUCUACUAAAAAUACAAAAAUCAGCUGGGCAUGGUGGUGCACGCCUGUAGACCCACCUACUCGGGAGACUGAGGCAGAAGAAUCGUUUGAACCUGGGAGGUGGAGGUUGCAGUGAGCCAAGAUGGUGCCACUGCACUCCAGCUUGGGCGACAGAGAGAGACUACAUCUCAAAAAAAAAAAAAAAAAAAAAAAAAAAAAAAAAAAAAUGUGAGCUACAGGUUUCUUCCAAACCUACAUUCCAAGCUUGUAGGAGAACUUGAAAUAAUUAAUGAGUAAAAUAGAAAUCCUAAACUAUAGAAUGCAUACAAUGGUGUUCAGCAGAAAGAAAUUUUUGUGUGCAAAAAAAUAAAAUAAAAAACUUGGAAAAAGAGGAAUUUAACUUUCAAUGACCAGCACACUUCGUGACAGCCACAUGACAGUCUGGGUUCCUCUAGCUACCUGAAUAGAGUUAAGCACUUAGUAUUUGUUGACUGCAUAAAAAAAUGAGUUCAUAGUUGAAUGAAUUAAACAGAGACAUCUUUAAGAAAGCAUGAGAGGAGUAGUAUGGCCAAUGGCUUUUAUGAUGAUUGAGGUAGGAAUAGAAUGAGAAGUGAAGUGGAUAAGGGAGGUGGGCCAAGGGUGACCUUGAGGGUGGGGAUGGGGCAACAUUAGCAAAGAGAAAAACUUGCUCAGGUAUAAGGCUCAUAUGAAAUACAAUGAGAAAAAUAUAUCAUACUAGCAUGAGGAUUAUAGACUUCUAUAAGUCUAUAAAUGAUGAGUUGAAAAAUUUAAUUUAACCCAUUUAAAAAAUUUUCUUUAGCAGGGAAAAUUAAAAAAAAAAACAUGAGGAAAACAGUAAAAUAUGAAGAGCCUGAAAGCACAAUAACAAACUUAGUCGGGCAUGUAAAAAAUUACAAUGGCUACACGAGUGUAAUUUUACUAGUGUAAUUUACACAAGUGCAAAACAAAGAUUAAAUUAGACUUCAUGACUAAUUAGAUAUGCAGAACAAAGAGAAGAAAUCUUCAAUGCUGAGAAAGGUGAGUAACAUUAAUGACACUAAAGAUUUUGUGUAAUAAGAAGAUCACUUCCAUUCUGAACAUCUGAAGUCUGAAGAUUCAAUUAAGAAUUUGAGUUGAAAUAUUAAAUACAUAGUUGGAAAUACAAUACUGGAAUUUUAUUUAAAUAUUACAUUUGGAGCUAUAGGAUAUAGAGUAAUCAACAAAGAAAUAU